CGGUGUUCAACUGGCGUGCCCGCGGGACGUCCUGCCGGUGAGCUCAGCCCGCGAGGGCGGCUCAACUUGAAAUCCCAUCGCGGUGCUCUUCAUUGAGUGUCGAGGUGGGCCGGCACGAUUACUUUUGAACAAAUUAGAGUGCUUAAAGCAGGCUAAAAUUUUGCCUGAAUACUGUGUAUAUGGAAUAAUGGAAUAGGACCUCGGUUCUAUUUUGUUGGUUUUCGGAACCCCGAGGUAAUGAUUAAUAGGAACGGAUGGGGGCAUUCGUAUUGCGACGUUAGAGGUGAAAUUCUUGGAUCGUCGCAAGACGGACUAAAGCGAAAGCAUUUGCCAAAAACGCUUUCAUUGAUCAAGAACGAAAGUUAGAGGUUCGAAGGCGAUCAGAUACCGCCCUAGUUCUAACCAUAAACUAUGCCAGCUAGCGAUCCGCCGACGUCCCUCUGAUGACUCGGCGGGCAGCUUCCGGGAAACCAAAGCUUUUGGGUUCCGGGGGAAGUAUGGUCGCAAAGCUGAAACUUAAAGGAAUUGACGGAAGGGCACCACCAGGAGUGGAGCCUGCGGCUUAAUUUGACUCAACACGGGAAACCUCACCAGGCCCAGACACUGGAAGGAUUGACAGAUUGAGAGCUCUUUCUUGAUUCAGUGGGUGGUGGUGCAUGGCCGUUCUUAGUCGGUGGAGCGAUUUGUCAGGUUAAUUCCGAUAACGGACGAGACUCUGACCUGAUAACUAGACGCACUUGCGGCAUCUCAAAGGUCCGCCGGCGGCUGGCUUUGCGCCCGUCGUCGCGCGCGAUUUUUACUGCCGGCGUACAAUAAAUUCUUCUUAGAGGGACAAGUGG
rnacentral:rRNA from 1 species